AUCUUCUUGUCAAAGCCUGAUCUGGUCUGAUCUCUGAAGCUAAGCAGGUCCGGGUCUGGUCAGUGCUUGGAUGGGAGACUGCUGUGAAUACCAGGUG
rnacentral:rRNA from 1 species